rnacentral:lncRNA from 1 species
GAGAAGGAAAUUAACAGAUUAAGCCCUGGGUACUUCCCCAAAUAGAGAAUUGUUAUUUAGGUGGGGAAGCAGGUUCUGUUUGAGGAGGAACCUUGAUUAUUUUUGAGUUCUGCCUGGAACAUUACUCAAUAUUCACACAAAUCUGCUACUGCGGCUCAGAUAUAAAUACCAAUGAACUCGUACAGUGAAGUAUUCAGAACUUCCCUCAAGGUAUUCUCAACUGAAAAAAACCCCACUGAAAAGUGUAAAGGAAUUUUUGUCUUGACACCAGAUGAAUGCUGGAAGAAAGAAGUGCGAGUCCUGUCCUUAUGCAAGACCUUUGCCUUGAAGGGAGCCUUUUGGGUGCUAUCAGCCCUGCCCACACAGCAGACAGGGCCUGAGCACAGCCAUCCUGAGGCAGGGCUGGUGACUGUGUGGGAUCUCUGCAGCCAAGCUGGGUGCUUCUCAAGGAGACCUUAACCCUCCCUGGAGCUGUGCUAUGUUGUCCCAUGGAGCAUGCUGGGAAAAUCUGGAGGAGUUCAAGGAAGGUCAAUGCAGAAGUAAUGAUGCUCUGGGAACCCUUCUGGUGGAAAGGUUUUGCCACAGGUUUGCCGUGCUAUCCUUUGACAGGGCAUUACCCACAUUUCCCAGCCUGGCAGACUUAGAUUGCUGCGCUGGUCCUUCCUGAGGUCACAUCUGAAACCCUCUCAGAGAGGGCAGCUGUUGAAGAAGCCCAGUGCAUUUGUUCAAGGGGUGAUCUCCUUGGGGGCACACAAUGCCCAUGUCCCUCCAGGAAACAGUCCUAUGGCUCAUAGGUUUCUGGGUGCAGUUUUGGGUGUUGGUUGCUUCCCAUAAAAAACUGAAUGGUUCACAAUUGGCUGUAAUGAGCGUCUGACUCUCCCUGCUGCACUGUCACAGCAGCUGGCAGCAGGAAUGUGUGCUGGAGCACCCUUGCUGGAAAAGGGAAUGUCUCUGUAGGGGUACCAGGACACACUGGGAUGCUGGAAACCCCUGCCAGGACUGAUCUGAAUUUGUUGGUUUUCCAGUGCUACUUCUAAAGCCAAAUUUCGGAGACAUUCAAGUUUUGUGGGGGGAGGAAAAUUCUGGCCCACAGGACAAGGGAACAACUGAAAAGGAUUUCUGGCAGUGCCACCUGACUGGUGUUCACCUG